rnacentral:tRNA from 1 species
UGUAUUGUAACUCAGUGGUAGAGUGCCUGCCUGGCAUGUGGGAGGCCCUGGGUUCAAUCCCCACUGCUACUA